rnacentral:tRNA from 1 species
CUCUGUAUAGUUAAAGUAAUAAACGCCACCUUGCAAGUGUGGAAUUCCUCGCAUUGACGUUGUGCAGGGU